CUUCAGCGAGCCCAGCCGCAGCGGUUCGGCGUCGCCGCGUCCCACCCCGUACGUGGCGAGCAGCGCCUGGGCCUC
rnacentral:antisense_RNA from 1 species